UCCCAUUUGUAUUGCUUCCAUAGCUAACCACCUUGUAAAAGGUAGUUGUAAGCUUUUUGUCUAAUCUAUUUGAAAUGAAUAUCAUUCCAUCCUGAUUGUCUUGAUAAUAUACUUAAAUAGCACCUAAUAUCAAUCCAUUCUUCUUCAUAUAAUUCUUCUAUAAAUAGUCUUGAAUAUUCAUCCUCUCCUUGUUGUACCCUAGAAUAAAAGAUAGUACCUAUAUCUUCAGUAUCUUCAAUCAAAUCUUCUUCUUGUUCAUAUCUAGCUUGGGAUAGUAUACUUGCUACAAGAUUAUCCUUGCCUGCUAUAUGCCUAAAUUCAGGAUUCAAAGAUUUAAUA
rnacentral:lncRNA from 1 species